GCCCGGCUAGCUCAAUCGGUAGAGCGUGAGACUCUUAUGGAUCUCACGAUUCCUAAAUCUCAAGGUUGUGGGGUAUGUUCAAGUCUGUUGUUGCUGAACAUUUGAGUGUCUUACUAACCGUCCUUCCAGUUCGACCCCCACGUCGGGCU